UCAAGAAACGCAAUCAUCUUAGUCUGUUCCAGCCUGCAAGACCUUCCUCCCAGACCAUUUGUACAUCACGGCGCAGGUCACACGCGCCCCCUUCAAGAAACGCAAUCAUCUUAGUCUGUUCCAGCCUGCAAGACCUUCCUCCCAGACCAUUUGUACAUCACGGCCAAGGUCACACGCGCCCCCUUCAAGAAACGCAAUCAUCUUAGUCUUUUCCAGCCUGCAAGACCUUCCUCCCAGACCAUUUGUACAUCACGGCGCAGGUCACACGCGCCCCCUUCAAGAAACGCAAUCAUCUUAGUCUUUUCCAGCCUGCAAGACCUUCCUCCCAGACCAUUUAUACAUCACGGCGUCAACAAUGCAGAACUCCGCCUGGUGCGUGCCGUCCUAUUACGAAGAGCAGUGCUUGGAGCAGACAUGAGACCAGCACCCUUCGGGACGUCGGUUGAAAUCCCCCGCCAAUCACAAAAUAUGGCCAAGAAAGACCUUCUACUGCAUCACGGAGAAAAGGCCAGGAUAACGAUUCAAGUACAGACACCAGAGAAGUGCCUACCCAUCCCCGCCAUCGAAAAAAUACAAUGAAUAUCAUUAUGCAUUUGAACUUAAAACAGCAUUAAUAGUCACACAACAAA